rnacentral:lncRNA from 1 species
GUGAAUAAUGAUGGUGAGACUUGUUAAGAAGCUUUGCCCGUCGAUAGAUCUGAAAAACAAAGUAAAAAAAGUGAGAAAGAAGGAAAGAGAGGGGAUGAAUAGAGAAAGUGAUGUUACCAUUAAUGGAGAUCAUUGGAUAUGGGCACUAUUCUCUUAGAGAAGAUGAAGAGGAGCCGGCGUUCCACAUCAUUAUCAUGUCGAUGCCGGCGACAAUUUUGAAGAGAAAAAGG